rnacentral:rRNA from 1 species
UACAGAGGGGGCAAGCGUUGUUCGGAAUUACUGGGCGUAAAGGGCGCGUAGGCGGCCUGCUAAGUCGAACGUGAAAUCCCCGGGCUUAACCUGGGAACUGCAUUUGUGACUGCAUAGCUAGAGUACGGUAGAGGGGGAUGGAAUUCCGCGUGUAGCAGUGAAAUGCGUAGAGAUGUGGAGGAACACCGAUGGCGAAGGCAGCCCCCUGGGCUGAGAUUGACGCUCAGGCACGAAAGCGUGGGGAGCAAACAGG